UACGAAGGGGGCUAGCGUCGCUCGGAAUCACUGGGCGUAAAGGGUGCGUAGGCGGGCCUUUAAGUCAGGGGUGAAAUCCUGGAGCUCAACUCCAGAACUGCCUUUGAUACUGAAGAUCUUGAGUUCGGGAGAGGUGAGUGGAACUGCGAGUGUAGAGGUGAAAUUCGUAGAUAUUCGCAAGAACACCAGUGGCGAAGGCGGCUCACUGGCCCGAUACUGACGCUGAGGCACGAAAGCGUGGGGAGCAAACAGG
rnacentral:rRNA from 1 species